UUGAUCCUGACGGUGAAUAACCCGGUGCAUACGACGGAGGAGCUGGCGGAGAAGUCACCGGAGAAGUUGCCGGAGAAACAGGGGAAGAUGAUUUAGGUGACAUUGAUCCCGGCGGUGAAGAACCCGGUGCAUACGACGGAGGAGCUGGCGGAGAAGUUGCCGGAGAACCAGCGGAGGAAGAUUUAGGUGGCAUUGAACCCGGCGGAGAAGUCACCGGAGAAGACGACGGAGAACCAGGGGAAGAUGAUUUAGGUGACAUUGAUCCCGGCGGAGAAGAUGACGGAGAACCAGGGAAUGAGGAUUUAGGUGGCAUUGAUCCCGGCGGAGAAGUCAUCGGAGCAGAGGACGGAGAACCAGGGGAAGAGGAUUUAGGUGGCAUAGGUGCGGGUGGAGAAGUCGACGGAGACAUAUGAGAGGAAGAUUUAGGUGCCAUUGAACCUGGUGGAGAAGUUGCCGGAGACUUAGCGGAGGAUGAUUUAGGUGGCAUUGAUCCCGGCGGAGAAGUCACUGGAGAAGAAGACGGAGAAACAGGGGAAGAUGAUUUAGGUGGUGUAUGUGCCGGUGGAGACGUCGCCGGAGAAACAGGGGAUGAAGAUGAUUUAGGUGGCAUUGUUCCCGGUGGAGAAGUCACCGGAGAAACAGGGGAAGUAGAUUUAGGUGGCAUAGGUGCCGGUGGAGAAGUCGCCGGAGAAACAUGGGAAGAAGACUUAGGUGGCAUUGAUCCCGGCGGAGAAGUCACCGGAGCAGAAGACGGAGAAACAGGGGAAGAAGAUUUAG
rnacentral:lncRNA from 1 species